rnacentral:lncRNA from 1 species
UGACUGUAACAGAUAAGGGUAGCAUCCCUGCCUUCAGGACAUCAUGACUAGGGGCCUAAUAGCCUUCAAGGAGGAUAGUCUGGGCAAUACCCCCAGGUUACUGCUGAGGAAGGAAUAGCCAGUCAUCACAACAGUGCAAAUAAACUCAGAGCUCAGCUUCUGCUGUCAUGGCCAAGCAACUGUGGUCUCCUGAGAAAGCAUCUAAGUGGGAACCGUCACCCAGCCACACCCUUCACUGUCUAUGAAGCAGACCCCUUAGAGAGACUUUUAAUGCCUUCAGGGCUUCAUUGUAUCUCUCCUCUAUGAACAGGAAAACAGAUGCUGGAUGCUUCAAAAUGAAGAGCUCCUGCUACCCCAUCUAAUAGGUCACAACGGAUUACAUUUCUGAAGGGCAAUUUCCCCCUUGCUCGUCACAUAAAAGACUUUCUCUGUUAUUUUAGCUGCUGGCUCCAGCUAAUGGACUGGAUUAGCCAGGGAGGUUAUUGAAUAUCUAUGUAAUUAAGAAGUAUCAGAUGUCACAGGGAAUGGCAAGGAGGAAGUUCGCAGCAAAGAAGAUAAGAGGGAUCAAUGCUGUGCGAAUCCUUCCUUGGAAAUGAACAUCUUCUUACCUGAGUCUGGAGAUGAUAGCCUGAAAUAAUGUUCCUUAUUUGCUUUUACCACCAUCAAGUUCCAGAA